CCCGCUGAACUUAAGCAUAUCAAUAAGCGGAGGAAAAGAAACUAACAAGGAUUCCCCUAGUAACGGCGAGUGAAGCGGGAAUAGCUCAAAUUUGAAAUCUCAUGGGAAUAACAGCCCGUGCGAAUUGUAGUUUAAAGAAACGUUUUCGAGGCAGCUUUGGGUAUAAGUUCUUUGGAACAGGACAUCAUAGAGGGUGAGAAUCCCUAAUAAUAGACAUCCGACACACAAUGCCGUUGCACCGCUUCAGAACCUCUCAGGGAUUAUGAGAUUAUUUCCCCCAGAAUGCUGUUAGGCGAGACCCCCAAAUUUUGGUAAU
rnacentral:ncRNA from 1 species